rnacentral:lncRNA from 13 species
AGGAAAACACAAAUUGACCUUAGAUCAGUGUCUAGGGGCAACUUGACCUUACUCCCACUGUAAGUCAGCUCCCACGCAAAGCACUCGAGGAAGGAGCUGAAGAGCAGAGGAAGAGAAGAAGACUCCAGAAUACCAUCAUUGCCGUCAUCCGAUUUCACUGACCACGGAAAUAAGUAGGUAAGAUUCUGACAUAUUUGUCAAGUGUUGCAUAGGUACAGACAAGUAUUAUAUAAACUGUUGUUGUUAUUAACUCUCUAGGAGGCCUAACUCAGUUAAGGACUAUGUCAAGGUUAUUCAGGACAAUUAUUUCUUAAUUUAAUGUUUUUUCUUCAGGAUUUGGAGGGAACAGUACUACCAUUGAGAGUUGAUCUGAAUUCU